rnacentral:tRNA from 1 species
CGUUUAGUCUAGUUGGUUAGGAUACUCGGCUCUCACCGAGAGACCCGGGUUCAAUUCCCGGCAACGG